AUUAAAUAUGUUGGUUUAUCUAUAUAAGUAUAUUAUAUUGAAUUCGUACCCCACUAACAAAACCCAGUAACUGUAAACCCUAUUCUUUACCACACUUCACUCUCUCGACUCUUAACCUCUUCUCCUUCUCUGAAACGCGUCUUACCUCUGCCUCCACCGUCCUUGCCGCCGCCGGAGACGUCCUAGCCGGCGUCGGAGCCGUCCUUCCCGCUCUUGUUUUGUGUUCCUUUGUGCACGGUUCUUGCCAUCUUAACCUCUGAUCCAUCUCUCAAAAGCUUGCUGCACCUUGUGCCUCCACCGUCCUUGCCGCCGCCUCCGUCCCUGCUGCGCCGUUGUCUCUUUGAAUUCAGAAACGCAAUGGAGUCUCUCUCAGGAAUCAAACCCUUUACUCUCUCUCAGGAGUCUCCUGUGGGCAGCUCCUAUAGACGUCUUCUAUUGCCGCUCCUUCUCUUCCAUUCUGUGCGCACACAUCUAUUCUUCUCUGUGACAGCCAUCACACUUGUACGAUUUCCUCUCCAAAACUGUUUUGUUGUAUCAAACAAGCCAACAGAUGGGAAGCGUUUUAUCUGAUCCCUUGGGAAGGUAAUCUUUCAUACCUAGUCACUACUCACUAGUUGUUUCAUUCAGGUAUCAAAGUGAGCACAACUUCAAGAUAUAUUGAUUAUAUUCUGCCCUGAAUAAUGGAAUCAUAAAUCUUGUGGACGUGGUAGUGUCUAUCUUAGUUUAGUUUGUUACUUUUACCACUUUAUUUGGAUUUUAAAUUGUACUAAAUAAUGAAGGUUGUGGUUCUUGGAUAUAUCAAGAUCUGAUGCAGUAAAGGCUCAACAUAUUAAAAGAAGCUAUCAUACAAGUUUAAGUUCAAUGAUGCUUUGUUUCAGACACAUUCUUAUUGUUCAAUGUGAAUUGUAUUUUAUGUUCAAGACUUUCCUGCAGGGUCAUGCUUGUUGUAUUGAUGGUUGUUCUUACUAUGCAGCUUUUACUCUUGCAAGCUUCUUUGAACGCUACAAGAACUUGGACCUUGCUAGGAAUUUUCAAUUUCCAACCUUGAGACAGGUUAUUUCUUGCUCAAGGAUCAUGCUUUACACCAUUCAAACUAACAUGUGUAUCUGUUUCAGAAUAGUCUUGAGACUAAGAUAGAGAAGUCAAGGAAGAAACUGAAGGAGAUAAAUAAUAGAGCUAAGAAGAUUUGUGGAGUAAACAAGGUAAUUUUCCUUUCUCAACUAAUAUCAAAUUAGAGUUACUUACCAUUUGCUUGAUGUGUAUAAUGAGAUUGCUUAGUUUUGUAUUCUAUAAACCUUCUGUGAAACUGAUUUUCACGUCCUUUUCUUCUUUUGAUCACACUUUGUCCUAGUCUUCAAUAGCAACCCUAGGAUAAAUCCAGCACACCUCUUACAGUUUUUGAAUUGAUUAUGUUAGUUAGUACUUCUUUGGUUGAGAUUGGAUAUUACACAUGAGAGAUUAAAUUCUAGCCUUGCUCUAAUAAUUGUUUCUACCUUGUUAGAAUAAAAGAGAUGAUAAUUAAUACUGGUAUAUCCAGUUUAAUAUUGGUAAAGAAAAUAGUUCAUUUGAUUGCUUCAAUUGCAAUUGGCAGCAAAACAUGAGUACAUUGGAGUGAAAGAGAAAAUCAUCUCUUCUAGCUUUCUCUAGUACCUGCUUUGAUAUUUAACCUUUCAUACAUUUAAAGUUUAUUGUACUUUAAUUGAUUUUUAUAGCUGUUUCAUUGUAAAUUUUAUUUAGCAUUUUGUAAAUUUUUGCCCCCUCAUUAAGUUUCCUAGUUUUGUUCCUGCUUGGUCAUGAGUAAAUACAAUUUAGGAUUUUUUGAAAACUAAUUGGUUUUAUGUUAAUCUGCUAAGCUUGGUGUACUUGUAGUCAUUGGAAAUUAACAGGAGAUUGAAAACAAUAGUAGCCUUAGACUAUGUUUACAUACGCACAAUACUCUUUUUAUGAUUGGAGCACUAAUCCAAGGUACUGCCUGAGCAAUCUAUGAGACCAUAAUUGAAUAGCUGAAUGUUGAUUGUCAAGUCUGUGGUUUUGCUACUCUCCUUUUAUUAUUUGAUGCCUUAUCUUUCAUGCUUUCGUCUAACUUUUUUUGUUAAUUGUUGUUCAUAAUUAGUUUGGUAGAUUGGGAUAAUAUGGAUCGAAAAUGGAUGUUUGCGAACCGUGGUGGAACCGCUGUAAUAUAUAUUAUCAAAUACAGCGGUUACCGGCUGAAACCGCUGUAAAAGAAGACUCAAGUACAGCGGUUAUUCUAGAGAACAGCUGUUGUAGGUCUGUAUUUACAGCGGUUUUAUUAAAUCAACCGCUGUAAAUAAUGCAUCUUUUACAGCGGUUAGAACCGCUGUUAAGGCUUUUACAGCGGCGAGAUCUACAGCGGUUCUGGACCGCUGAAAACCGCUGUAAAAGGCCAAAAAAAACCGCUGUAAAAGCCAUUUUUUGGUGUAGUGAAAUGAGAUAGAUUAAUGUGUACCUUAAGUUCUCCAUGCCUUGGCUUUUAUAGAGUUUGAGAUUGCGCGGUUCGAGGCGGUCAUGAGUGCCUAGUUCAUCCUCGAGCUUCGUGCCUUUGCCUCGAUUGCUGGUCCAUAAUUACUUAGUUGGCCGGUCGGGGUAGAUCGUCUCUAGUCUUGGUUGGGUAAGGAGACGGCGCGGUUGACCCGGGGGUGAUCGGUUGGAGAGUCUCCCAGAACAAUAGCCCACUAGCUCUGGCCUAUAAGAAUUGUGGAACUUGAGCUAAUAGAGUUGGAGUUCUAAGUCGGAAGUAAUUACUUGGUUGGUCGGUCGGAGUUGAUCGUCCUCAUUAUCGGUCGGGUGAGGAGACGGCGCGAUCGACCCGAAGGGUGGCCGGUAGGAGUGUUUCCCAUAACAUUAUUAAUAGAAGAAUCCAGAAAAUUGACAUUGCUCUCAGAUUUUAUUUUUUCUUUUAUUUUCUUAACUUUUCAAAUUAGAUGUUUAGUUGCUUGAUAGGAUUUUGCUUCCAAUCAAGUACAUGCUUAGUAUAUGGAUUGAAAUAACUUAUCCUCCUUUUUUUCCUUUCCAAGCAUAUUUCAAGAUAAAAAAAAUCAAGAUAAAACAUGUUAAAAAAGAAAAAAAAACUUCUAAUCGCAUGGCACUAUUUCAUUAAGGCUCUCUUUACGAGUUAGAUUUUAAAGAAGAGUAAUGAUGUGUGGCAUGAGAUGAUGAGUCACGACAAUGCACGAGCAGUUGUAAUUUUUUCCUACUCGAGCUAUUUUAUCAUUUACUCCCCCCUAUGAUAUCCAGUUAAGUUCACUCUCAUUGGCUGAAAAUUAUCAUUGUGCGUGGUGUGUUAUAGUGGCUUCAUACCAUAUUGAAGGAGGCUUAACUCAACCCAAAAGCUAGCUCAAGAGUUAAGGUUUGCACAACCAUAUAUAAGCAAUUGCUUGGCCACAUCUCUAACCAAUGUGAGACUCUAACACAUAUAGCAAUACUGUUUGGAGAAUAGGGAAGGAAAAUAUAAAAAGUCAUAUCCUUAUUUGUGAGUUUUAAAAAAGGCGGAAAGGGUUUGAGAAAAUUUUAAAAACUCUCCAUCUCAUCUUUAGAUAUUUUAAUGUAGAGUGUGGUUCCUUUACACCUAAAAUAUCAGAAUAUCGAAACCAUGAACAAAGAAAUGCAUGAGAUAAGAGUACAUUGACUACUUAUUAUGAGACCCUAAUUCUUGACUGGAGAGGACACCAAAGACCUAUGCCCUUUCAUGAUUCAUCCCUUGGACAGAUAAGGGGCAGAUUCCCAAAUUGGGGUAUUUGUAAAAUUUGUAAUUUUCAAACAAAGACAAAGGGAGAACUUACCUUCACUCCCACUCUCUAUUCCCCUUCCCCUCAAAAUCUUUUCAUUUCCUCCUUAAAAACUCAUCACCAAAGCCUAAAAGACAGAUGCGACAGAUAAUUUAAUUCUAUAAAAUUUUAUUAUUUAUCUUUAUCAUUAUAUGAGAGAAAGCGAUGCCAACAUAUCUUGUAAGAAUAUUCAUUUCUAAUUAUAUAAAACAUGUACCGAAAUAUGGAAUUUUUUCCCACAACCCAAUUAUUGGAUAUAUAAAUAAGUGACAUUUGACCAACCCAAGCUAGUUGGAUGAAAAAUAACGAAUGUGUAAUGAUAAAGCACAUAUACUCUUGCUUAAAAUUUUAUUUGCCUAUUUGCUCGGAAUAUUCAUUCUCCUAAUAAAAAAAUUAUAACCAAAGAUUUGAUGAUUUAACAAGUUGUCCACUUAAAUUAGCCUCGGAUUAAUCUGACUUGGUCCUAACAAAAGAUGCUUUUAUUAGUUUGGUUUUUUUAUUUUGUUAAUCUAUUUUUGCUAGUUGUUCUAGAAAUUCAGUUGCAGAUUUUCUCACAAAGAACACUUCCACUUAUUUUGAGUCAAUUUGGGUGGAAGAGGUUGUAGAGACUGCUUUUAAAUUAGUUAACUUGAAUGUCCUUGUUUCUAGGCCAGUUGGCACCUGAUAAAAUUCAGGUUUCAUUUAAUAAAAAAAGCUACACGUGGUUGGCUUGUGUCUAACAUUAUUAUUCCUUUAUGUCUCUGCCGUGUUUAAGCAAACAAAACUAAAAAGCACUUCAGUGCGCGCCAUAAAAGAAAAGCUCCCAUUAGGAACCAAAUCUAAAAGGUUAAUAAUGAUAACCACAAUCAAAGCCACAUUGGAAAAGCCACUUGCAUUAUUUUUGAAAGCACUUCAGCAAGUGGCUUGUGAUCAGAGGAAGAUUAUAACUAUUACAAGGAACAAACACCUUUAAAACAUAAAAGUAUAGUAGAUGAUGCCCCUAAUAAUGAGUAGAAUCUUAUGUUUUCAUCACUCGUCUCAUUCUCUUUCUUAUUAAUAGAAUUGUAACAUAUCAAUUAAAAACUACUCUAUAUAAUAAGGUUAUAACUAUUAUAUCAAUAUUUUUCUAAUUGAUAUAACAGAAUUCUAUUGGUGAUGCAAGGAAUGAGACAUUUAACGAGUGACAUAAGAUUUUAAUCUUUACUAAUGUUGUAUUCAAAUAAUUCCUAUCUAUUUCACAUUUUAUAGCAUGUCUCGCUUAUAGUUUCUUCUUCCUCAGAAUCGAUCAAUUCUGAAACUUGGAAUCUUCUACUAAAUUUGAUUAUGACUUCAUAAUCAAUUGUAUUGUCUCGAUAGUGAUCAAACGACGUAGUGAUCACUCCCUUUGUCAUUCUUCAUCAUCUUGGAUCCCUUUCCACUCCCACAAACAAAGUCCAAAUUGUAAAGCACAGGAAUCAUAGCGACACAACACAAGAAAACGAGAACCGGUCCAAAGAUCCAAAGCACAAGAGGAAGUGCUGAGUAGAAAAGCCUGUUACCAACAGUGCUCAAAAUGGUUCCUUUCUCCAAAAGCUCAAUCAAAUAUUCAGGGGUCACCAUGGAUGGGACAUCUAAUGGUGUGCAAAUGAGGACACUCACCUGGUUGAAGAACCUGAUAGACAGGGUGUGACAGAAAAAUGAGAAUAAGAAUAUGGUUAGGAGUGUCACGUAUUUGAGAGCCACCAUGAACUCGCCGUGAGAGCCGUAGACGGCGUCGUUGAGAGGCUUCUUCACGCUGUAAGUGCUGCUUAUGACGGCUCCCAACCCGGCGGAGAGGAGGAUGGAGGUGGUGGCCAUGAGAGUUGAGCCCAUUAUCAGAUUACGGAGAGUUUGAACUGCUAGGAUGUUCUUCUUUUCAAUGUCCUGCCAAAAAAUGCAUAUUGUUUUUGUGUCAAUCAACCUUUAAUAUGGCUCAUACUUAAUAGAAAUUAAUAAUUGGUUUAUCUA